ensembl:lincRNA 4930452N14Rik RIKEN cDNA 4930452N14 gene
GCUCCUGCCUGUGAUUGGCAAGUCUGAAAUCGUUUCGGUGGGGAAACGUAUCGCAUCAAGAACAGGAAGAUUCUUGUUUGGUGCCAGAGCAGCUUGAAAUCUGGUCCAGAAUAUUUUAUCAAAAAGAAAAAAAAAAAAAAAAAAGCUCUGACUUGGGAUUCUCUCUUCUGAGCAAGACAAUUGCAAUCUGCUUCAAGCUUUAGAGCUAAUGGUACCACCCACUGAGUCUCCUUUUGGACCUAUGAAUAGGGACAAUUCUCACAGUUUUAAAGUGGCCCCAUCAUGUCAAGCUACUAGAGGCAGCUGGGCCACACCCUCCUGGGAGGGACUUCUGAAUUCCCAAUGGCUGUUUUCAUCUGACUUUUGGAAAGUUUCCUGCAUCCAGGUUCCAGCCUUGAGUUCCUGCCUGACUUUCUGGAUUAUAAGAUGAAAUGGAGGAACAAGAUGAACCAGAGAUCUGGCAAGAGGCAUCUAAUAGUACCAUCGAGGACAGUGGCUCCCUACAGACCCUUAGCCCACCUCUGAUACAUUCACGCUCAUGGUGUUUUCCACAGAUGUCUCACAUUUCACAAACCUGUCAAUUCCAGUACAUAUCAUCUUGAACUAUG